UAUCCUUACCAAUAUGUGAUCUGAAGGAGCUCUGAACCCCCCAUUGAGACAUCGGCCCAUCAGACUCACAGAGAACAUCAGGAAGACCAAAGACUCAAGAUUUAUCUAUCCUUGAAUUAUUCAGUGAUGCUGAUUACAAUAGACCUCCCUAAUCCGAAGGGAAAACAUCCCAAGACCCCCAAUGAAUGCCUGAAACUGGAUGCUACUGAACCCUGAGACGGUACUAAGUGACCAAUGGACGAAUAGCGUGUACAGCAUGGAUACACUAGACAAAGGGAGGAUUCGCAUCCCGAGCUGGUCAGCAAGAGGUUUCAUCACCCCACUCAAAAUGGCAAGACCGUAUGAACCUGAAUCCAGAGAAAUGGCUCAUCAGUCUCCAAACCUGAUUUUCUAAACCAUGAGUACAUUAUAUUGAAACCAGAAAAAGCAAUACCUCUUUUCACAGAAUGGACUUUCUGGUAGAAAUGGGAGGAACCAAAAGAAGGCUGACUUCUUCAUUUUGACACCCUGCCCUGACUGCAGAAUGUGAUUUCCCUAAAAGACUGAAUCUUAACCUCAAAGCCUGAUCAACCAACAUGCAGGAGAAAUCUUGACCAAGGCUCUGAGCAUGCUGUGGUUCCAAUGGUGAAGGUGUGAUAUGCACUGUUUGUUCCUGGAGUCACAGUGCUCGUCUUGUGGUAAAGACCUCUUGGAAGAAUGUCUUUAAAGGCACAUUUCCAGCUGGGAGUCCUUGUUUCCUGAUUUUUUUUUUAAGUUUAUAUUAUAUGAACAAAUGAGACUGCUUUCCCGGCAGGAGUAGCCCUCGGACGCCCACUGUGAGCCUACUUUCUGGAAGAAGCCAACUCAGACAGACCAUAGUGUGUGCACAGCAUACGUGGCUGCUGGCUGUGGAUGAAAAAGUAAUCCUGAUCUGUCAGAAUAAUGAUUUCAGCGUGUUCUCAGCAGGUCCUCAGUUUGAUCCCAUGAGGAUACCCUCAACCCCUUGCAUGACAUGUUGUACUUGGAGUCCUUCCCCGUUUCAAUUUCAGCAUCAGUGGGAGGGAAAUAGCAAAACAGCAUUCCUUCAUGCAGAUAACCAGUAGGCAGCCAGCUACUCGUGGUUCGUAACAUAACUCCACCAGUGUAUUCUGGCAGCGGGGUUUACUUAAGGGAGAGCACAGACAUUCCCUGCUCAAAAACAAAACUGCUAAACGUGACUCCGGUAGCCUCCGUGCUGUCUGCAAGAAUAAAAUCCUUGAAGAAAAAUUGUGAUAAGAAGUCUGUCUUUGGAGUCAGCCUGAGCACAAUCUUGCAUCUCCAGUUACCACCUGGGUGGCUUUAUUCAUUUAUUUAUUCAUUUAAGAAAUACCUGUAGGAUACAUACUACAUUGCAGGCAUGCUUCUCAGAUGUUAGUUCAUCUUGCUAAGCCUCUAGUAUCUUCAUCUAAACAGUGAGGAUAACAAUAUGUACCUCCUAGGGCCAUGUGAGGAAAAAGUGAGAUAGUGUGUAUAAAGCUCAUAGCACAGGGCUUGUAGAGAGGACGUGCACAGUUAGUGUUGGCUGUGGCAGGUAUUAUUCCCUUUACCACAGCCUAUGCCAUCCUUGCCAUCCCAUCAGGAGCUCCUGAUGAUGCCAGCACCUUUCCCAGCCCUCAUCUGGGGCAGAGUUCACCUUUAACUUUUUAUUCCUCUUGGCUUUACUUGAUAUUCAUUGACCUGGAGCUACCCACACCAGGGGGCAGCAUAAAUAAUGGCAGAAGUCACAUCCUCUGCCCUGGCUUCACACCUCCUCUUGGUAUCAGCUGUUCACCAUGCUUUUCCUACUGACUCUCUC